rnacentral:lncRNA from 1 species
AGUGGGUUUAUAAAUUAAAAAGCGAAAAAGAUAGUGUAAUAGGAUAUAUAUAUAUAUAUAUAUAUAGAGUUGGAAUGGGCUACUAUUAGUAGCAAAAUUUUAUUGUUGCUAUUAGUUUUUUAGCCUUUGGAUCAACUCUUUUGAUUAUUUCUAAUCAUGGAAUUACAUACUAUAACCCAGUGGGGACCACUCAACCCUAGGAGAACCACUCAACUCUAGCCGACUAAUAUCAUCCUGACCCUAUAAUUUGUUAUCCAAGGGUUAAAAACUUGAUAGCAAAAAGAGCGUUUUAUUAUUAAUAGUAUUCCAGCCUAAUUCUAUAUAUAUAUAUGUGGGAGAGUUUGUAGGGAAUUGGAAUAGCGUAUUAGUUAGGUUAAGGGGAGUGGGAAUGGGAUUUUGGGG